rnacentral:misc_RNA from 1 species
GAUGAAGAACGUAGCGAAAUGCGAUAAGUAAUGUGAAUUGCAGAAUUCAGUGAAUCAUCGAAUCUUUGAACGCACCUUGCGCCCUUUGGCCAUUCCGAAGGGCAUGCCUGUUUGAGUAUCAUGAACACCUCAACUCUUUAUGGUUUUCCAUGAUGAGCUUGGACUCUGGGGGUUUUGCUGGCUCACAGUCGGCUCCUCUAAAAUGAAUCAGCUUACCAGUGUUUGGUGGGUAUCAUGGGUGUGAUAACUAUCUACGCUUGUGGUUUUUCCACCAGGUAACCUUCAGCAGUGGAGGUUCGCUGGAGCUCAUAGAUGUCUCUCCUCAGUGAGGACAGCCCUUUGAAUGUUUGAUCUCAAAUCAGGUAGGACUACCCGCUGAACUUAAGCAUAUCAAUAAGCGGACGA